rnacentral:rRNA from 1 species
UCUGGUUGAUCCUGCCAGUAGUCAUAUGCUUGUCUCAAAGAUUAAGCCAUGCAUGUCUAAGUAUAAAUAGUAUACAGUGAAACUGCGAAUGGCUCAUUAAAACAGUUAUAGUUUAUUUGAUAAUUGACAAUUACAUGGAUAACCGUGGUAAUUCUAGAGCUAAUACAUGCUUAAACGCCCGACUUUAUGGAAGGGUGGUAUUUAUUAGACUGAAGCCAAUAUUCCUUGUGUCUAUUGCGGUGAUUCAUAAUAACUGAUCGAAUCUCUUUUUGAGAUAAAUCAUUCAAGUUUCUGCCCUAUCAGCUUUCGAUGGUAGUGUAUUGGACUACCAUGGCAGUAACGGGUAACGAAGAAUUAGGGUUCGAUUUCGGAGAGGGAGCAUGAGAAACGGCUACCACAUCUAAGGAAGGCAGCAGGCGCGUAAAUUACCCAAUCCUGACUCAGGGAGGUAGUGACAAGAAAUAGCAAACCGGGAACCUCAUGGUUUCACGGUAUUGCAAUGAGAACAAUUUAAAACCCUUAGCGAGAAUCAAGUGGAGGACAAGUCUGGUGCCAGCACCCGCGGUAAUUCCAGCUCCACUAGCGUAUAUUAAAGUUGUUGCAGUUAAAAAGCUCGUAGUUGAACCUCUGUCUGGGGCUAGUUUUGGCUUUGGUCAGGCUAGUUCUAGGCAUCCGCCUACAAGACUUAGAGGGCAUUCAGUUGUUCACUAGGAGGAGUAGGCAUUUUACUUUGAAAAAAUUAGAGUGUUUAAGGCAGGCAAUCGCCCGCAUAUAUUAGCAUGGAAUAAUAGAAUAGGACACUUUUCCAUUUCGUUGGUUAUUGGAAUCGCGUAAUGAUUAAUAGGGACAGUUGUGGGCAUUUGUAUUUAAUUGUCAGAGGUGAAAUUCUUGGAUUUAUUAAAGACAAACUAACGCGAAAGCAUUUGCCAAGGAUGUUUUCAUUAAUCAAGAACGAAAGUUAGGGGAUCAAAGACGAUCAGAUACCGUCCUAGUCUUAACUAUAAACUAUUCCGACUCAAUGUUUGACUGGCUUAUAUAACCAGUUGAGCGUUGUAUGAGAAAUCAAAGUCUUUAGGUUCUGGGGGGAGUAUGGUUGCAAAGCUGAAACUUAAAGGAAUUGACGGAAGAGCACAACCAGGAGUGGAUUCUGCGGCUUAAUUUGACUCAACACGGGGAAACUUACCAGGUUAAAACAAUAGUGGGAUUGACAGUUUGAGAGCGCUUUCUUGAUUGGUUGGGUGGUGGUGCAUGGCCGUUCUUAGUUGGUGGAGUGAUUUGUCUGCUUAAUUGCGUUAACGAACGAGACCUUAACCUGCUUACUAGACUGGCGAUCAUCAAUCGUUAGCUCUUCUUAGAGGGACUUUU